GCGUUACGAUGGUGACCGUUGCUACGUAACGCCUAUGCUUACGGAAGAAGCGAAAACAAGCUAUGAGGAGAGAGAUGGAUGACAACUUUCAGCUCGAAGAUGGUGGAGUGACAAAGAAUACUGCCAAAUCUGGCCGAAGAGCUCGUUUACCAGCUGAUCAGUCAUUUGAAGAUUCUCGGCCGGCAAGGAAAUCAUCCACCUCUGCUUCAAUAGGAGAUGAUGAUGAUGAAGAGGGCCCCCCUUCUAAACCGGCGCGGCGGCAGGGUGGCUGGGCAGAGGAAAGCUCUGGAUCUGGUUCUGCCAAGUCUUCAAGAAGACGAGCUGCUGAGGACUUGGAGGACCAUCGCCUGCGACCACAAACCCCCCAGGGAUCAGAUGAUGGAGGAGAUAUUCCAGUGAUACCAGACCUAGAGGAGGUGCAGGAAGAAGAUCUGACAAUGCAAGUUGCUUCUCCACCAAGGAUUCAGGUGACUCGAGUGAUGACCUACCGUGAUCUGGACAAUGAUCUGAAACAUUUCUCUACGUUCCAAACCUUAGAUGGAGAGAUCGACUUGAAGCUGCUCUCCAAGGUUUUAGCACCAGAGCAAGAGUUCAAAGAGGAGUAUGUGAUCUGGAACUGGGAUCAUCUGUUUGCAGAGGUGUCCUCAGAGCUCAGGAUGGAACAGGAUCAAGGAGAGAGUCAGGAGUCGGAAGAGGAGGGACAGUGAAUUCAUUUAUCUCUAGUUUUAAGUAAGAAAUUAUUUUUAUAGCUUUAUGUGCAGCAUUUCUUGAUGUCUCAGAACUUUUUCAAAAGUUCUCUGUUUCUGUGGCCAAUUUCUGUUAUUUGAUCUGUUGAGUCUCUUGUUUUUAGAUUUAUUUUGAGUUGAACAGCCCAAAGGCCAUCAUUUGAAAGAAGUGGUUUCAGAUAAAAAUGUCCUCUCUGUACUGGCAGCUUUAUCAGGAUCUACAUACAAGUCCAAGCUCUUCGAUAGGAGCAACCCCUUCUUCACUAUUAUCUCAAAUGCAUGGAGCAGAGUUCCUAUUGACACCUGGCGGAUUAGCAUACAUUAUACUUUUACUGAAUUAAAAGGCAUGGAUGCAAGUCGGAAUCAAGCUGGCUGCAACUUUAUAAAGGGAUGAGAAAAUUAGUCGUUUUUCAUGUCGGGUGGACUAAAAAUAAAAAUCAUGUUUUGUUGCUUUUCA